CUUGUACUCCCUCCGUCCGAAAAUACUUGUCAUUGAAAUGGAUGUAUCUAGAUGUAUUUUAGUUCUAGACACAUCCAUUUUGAUGACAAGUAAUUCCGGACGGAGGCAGUACUUG
rnacentral:pre_miRNA from 1 species